AACUUUUAAUAAUAGAUCUCUUAGUUUUAGUAUCGAUAAAGAACGUAACGAAAUACAAUAAGUAAUAUAAAUUAUAAAAUUUAAUAAAUUAUUGAAUUUUUAAAUAUAUAUUACGCUCGUUAGUAUUCUAGCGAAUAUAUUUAUUCGAAUAUUA
rnacentral:rRNA from 2 species